UACGGAAGGGGGCUAGCGUUGUUCGGAAUUACUGGGCGUAAAGCGCACGUAGGCGGAUAUUUAAGUCAGGGGUGAAAUCCCAGAGCUCAACUCUGGAACUGCCUUUGAUACUGGGUAUCUCGAGUAUGGAAGAGGUGAGUGGAAUUCCGAGUGUAGAGGUGAAAUUCGUAGAUAUUCGGAGGAACACCAGUGGCGAAGGCGGCUCACUGGUCCAUUACUGACGCUGAGGUGCGAAAGCGUGGGGAGCAAACAGG
rnacentral:rRNA from 1 species